GACGAACGCUGGCGGCGUGCCUAACACAUGCAAGUCGAGCGGAGAUAUAUGGAGGAAGUUUUCGGAUGGAGUUUAUAUAUUUUAGCGGCGGACGGGUGAGUAACGCGUGAGGAACCUGCCCUUUACAGGGGGAUAACGCACCGAAAGGUGCACUAAUACCGCAUGAGACCACAGCACCGCAUGGUGCAGGGGUCAAAGGAGUAAUCCGGUGAAGGAGGGACUCGCGUCCGAUUAGAUAGUUGGUGGGGUAAGGGCUCACCAAGUCAACGAUCGGUAGCCGACCUGAGAGGGUGAUCGGCCACAUUGGAACUGAGACACGGUCCAAACUCCUACGGGAGGCAGCAGUGGGGAAUAUUGGGCAAUGGGGGGAACCCUGACCCAGCGACGCCGCGUGAGGGAAGAAGGUUUUCGGAUUGUAAACCUCUGUCCUUGGUGAAGAGUAGAAGACGGUAGCCAAGGAGGAAGCCCCGGCUAACUACGUG
rnacentral:rRNA from 1 species